AUUGAACGCUGGCGGCAGGCUUAACACAUGCAAGUCGAGCGGGGGAAGGUAGCUUGCUACUGGACCUAGCGGCGGACGGGUGAGUAAUGCUUAGGAAUCUGCCUAUUAGUGGGGGACAACAUCUCGAAAGGGAUGCUAAUACCGCAUACGUCCUACGGGAGAAAGCAGGGGAUCUUCGGACCUUGCGCUAAUAGAUGAGCCUAAGUCGGAUUAGCUAGUUGGUGGGGUAAAGGCCUACCAAGGCGACGAGCUGUAGCGGGUCUGAGAGGAUGAUCCGCCACACUGGGACUGAGACACGGCCCAGACUCCUACGGGAGGCAGCAGUGGGGAAUAUUGGACAAUGGGGGGAACCCUGAUCCAGCCAUGCCGCGUGUGAGAAGAAGGCCUUAUGGUUGUAAAGCACUUUAAGCGAGGAGGAGGCUACUUUAGUUAAUACCUAGAGAUAGUGGACGUUACUCGCAGAAUAAGCACCGGCUAACUCUGUGCCAGCCGCCGCCGUAA
rnacentral:rRNA from 1 species